UCAGACAGUGAUGCUGCUAUCAGCUGGAUCAGACAGGCUGAAGGAAAAGGACUGGAGUGGGUCGCCUCCAUUUCUGCUCCCAGUGGAGCCAAUAAAUUGUAUUCCACAUCUGUCCAGGAUCGCUUCACCAUUUCCAGAGACAACGACGUGGAUCAGGUGUAUCUGCAGAUGAGCAACCUGAAAACUGAAGACUCUGCAGUUUAUUAUUGUGCUCGAAGAAGCACAGUG